UCAAACAACAGAAAAUGAGAAGAAAACACACACAAAUAUGGCAGCAGACUUGCCACCAAGUAAGGUGACAGAACAUGUGAAGGAGGGAACUCUGCCAGACAGGUGAAUGCACUAACCACCAGAAUAUUGGCAUCAUCACUUGAGCACCCCAUUGAUGCUCUGCAAGGAGUACAAGAGGAGACAAACCUCAAACUGCAGCAGUAGAAGGCAGUAUCCAGGGAGUGUCUAACGCAGCAUUAGUCCAGCACAUUCUCAAACAAGGCACAGACUUAAAAUUGAUUCUGCAGGAAGCAAAAGAUAUGCUGAAUCAUUUGACUGCUCUGCUAAGCAAAGACAAACCUACUCCAGCACUCUGGCAGGAGCUGUUAGAGCUGCAAGGAUGCCUUAAUGAUGACUCAUGAAUUACUUGAUGUUUAUGUUUCUGCCCCUUAUUCAAGAAACAACCUUCAUCCACGAACACUCAUGUAACACCAUAUACUCGCGUCAGAUAAGAGUUUUUGACGCAUUGGAAUAUGUUACUCCAGACUGAGGUGCAUCACCAUUGGAAAGGUCUGUGAUAAGCAGAUAAAUUCCACAAGGAAAGGUGUGCAAUAAAUAUUAGCGCUUCAAUGGAUACUUGUUAGGUGUGGCACAAAAAUGAGAAACAC
rnacentral:lncRNA from 1 species